rnacentral:rRNA from 1 species
ACUCCUACGGGAGGCAGCAGUAGGGAAUCUUCCACAAUGGGCGCAAGCCUGAUGGAGCAACACCGCGUGAGUGAAGAAGGGUUUCGGCUCGUAAAGCUCUGUUGUUAAAGAAGAACACGUAUGAGAGUAACUGUUCAUACGUUGACGGUAUUUAACCAGAAAGUCACGGCUAACUACGUGCCAGCAGCCGCGGUAAUACGUAGGUGGCAAGCGUUAUCCGGAUUUAUUGGGCGUAAAGAGAGUGCAGGCGGUUUUCUAAGUCUGAUGUGAAAGCCUUCGGCUUAACCGGAGAAGUGCAUCGGAAACUGGAUAGCUUGAGUGCAGAAGAGGGUAGUGGAACUCCAUGUGUAGCGGUGGAAUGCGUAGAUAUAUGGAAGAACACCAGUGGCGAAGGCGGCUACCUGGUCUGCAACUGACGCUGAGACUCGAAAGCAUGGGUAGCGAACAGGAUUAGAUACCCU